UUUUAAGGAAAACAGGAGAGGAUUC
rnacentral:piRNA from 1 species